AACUCAUGGACUGAACUGGGAAGUAUGACUUUGUUCUCCGUUGCUGCGGUCCUGGGUAUUAAGGCUCCCUGUGUCCACUUCUUGUUACAGUGAUGGAUGUUUCUGAAGCCACAGAGCAGCAUACCAUACCUACUUACAGUGGAAUGUGGAGGCAGGAUGUGGGAAGGAUUUUUUUUUUGUCUCAAUAACCACCUCCUCUCCACACCCCACCCCAGUUUAUGCCUCAUCUACACAGAAGGAGUUACAUCAGUAUUAUCAAGCCAUGCCCACUGGGUCAAAACAGAGACCUUGUGGUGAAGUCCAGCCCUCUCACCCAUUUCCCAGAUGAAGAAACCAAGUCCCAGAGGAGAAAGUGUCUUGAUUAUAUGAACUUGAGAAGUUGAUUCUAAAAUUUACAUGGAAAUACAAAGGAUCUGAAACAGCCCAACAUUUUGAGAACAAAGAGUAUGUCAUACUGAAACGAAAAAUUUAUUCAUGAAAAAUUCUACCUAGACACUGGCAGAGAUCCAAGAGGCGGAUGGUACGCUAUGCUGGUGAGUGUAAACGGGCAUUCUACUACAUCGAAGGUGUGUACGACUCCUUUGGAGGACAAUCUGACAUAUCUAGUUACAUAUGCACAUAUCUUUUAAAAAUUUUAUAGGCUUUAUUUUUUAGAACAAUUUUAGGUUCACAGCAAAACUGAGCAGAAAGCACAGAAAGUUCCUACAUACCCUGCCAGCCACUCCCCCACCAUCCACAUUCCUCAUUAGUAUGGAUCAGCACUGACCCAGCAGGAUCAACCCAAGACCAUAGUUUACAUGAGGGUUCACCCUUUGUGUUGUUCCUUCUAUGGAUUUUGACAAGUGUGUGAGGACACAUAUCUACCAUUAUAUAGUAUCACAUGGAAUAGUUUCCCUGCUCUAAAAGCUUCCCAGUCUCCAUAUAUUUAUCCCUCC